GGGAUGCUACGGCCAGGCCCUUGCAGAGCGCUCUCGCUGGCUUGGGUCAGGAGGCGCGUGACCUUUCUGCGCUACGACGGUGGUGGCUGGAGAAGCCCUGGGCAGGCUUUCAGAUGGGGCGCAGACCCUGCUUGGAGCGUGCCACGUUCUCCGCUUGAAGAGAACAAACACUUGUGACUAUUUGCAGGGGAGAAGGGAGCCGGCAAUGCAGCCCUUGGCCCUGGCUGCUCCGGAGCUAGGGAGCCGUCCUUGCGGCCGCGGCCUGCUCCGACCUGUUGCCCCGCAGCCGCAGCCGCAGCCAGCAGGCACUGCCUUUCCCAGCUCCAUGGGUGUGAUGGGCCCCGCGCCAAAGCCGCCUGCAGUCUACGGGAGUCCUUCCAGCAGGCUUUGGACCAGGGCUGCGGCUGGCAAGCGGGCGCAGACGCUAGUAAGGAUCCGGUCCACCCUGGCUGCAUGGCGCGCCCCUCCAAAAGCCGUCUUUCUGCACCGCUCCUCUCCCCGCGGCAUGGCCAGACAGCGGCAGAGCAGGGCUGUUUAUGUACGGGGAGCAGAUAAAAAAGGUCGGACUCUCUGCCAGGAAAGGAGACACGCUGCCUUUUCUCUAACCCCCAUGCAAGAGUGCUCGCGAUAGCGCCUUUCCAGCCAGCAACCUUCGCCUGGGAUCUCUAAGCAGAUUGUGCCUGUUUUCAUAUGGUUUCGUGCGCCACGAGCAGACACAUCCCGAUGCAUUUUCAAGUUGCGCCGUGCAUUUCUCCACAGACCUCUUUCUUGGGAGAGGGGCCGUGCCGAGCCACUCGGCUAAUGGCUUGUGAAACGGUUAUCUUGCUUGCAAAAUAAAGGCGACCACCUGUU